rnacentral:rRNA from 1 species
GAUGAACGCUGGCGGCGUGCUUAACACAUGCAAGUCGAACGGAAAGGCUCCUGCUUGCCGGGGUACUCGAGUGGCGAACGGGUGAGUAACACGUGGGUGAUCUGCCCUGCACUUCGGGAUAAGCCUGGGAAACUGGGUCUAAUACCGGAUAGGACCACAUUUUGGAUGGUGUGGUGGAAAGUUUUUCGGUGUGGGAUGAGCUCGCGGCCUAUCAGCUUGUUGGUGGGGUAAUGGCCUACCAAGGCGUCGACGGGUAGCCGGCCUGAGAGGGUGUACGGCCACAUUGGGACUGAGAUACGGCCCAGACUCCUACGGGAGGCAGCAGUGGGGAAUAUUGCACAAUGGGCGCAAGCCUGAUGCAGCGACGCCGCGUGGGGGAUGACGGCCUUCGGGGUGUAAACUCCUUUCGCUAGGGACGAAGCGCAAGUGACGGUACCUGGAGAAGAAGCACCGGCUAACUACGUG